CUCAACACGCCGCCGCGCGCUAACGGCGCUAGCGGCGCCGAGGGUGUAGCUAGCAACAGCUGAGCGACGGCUCCUUUGUCACGAGCUGCCGCCGCUAACGCCGAGGAGUCACGAGGGUCAUUGUUCCCGCUCCCGCCGGAAAAUCUCCCCUCCUUCCUCUCCGCGCGCCGACGUCUGGGUUUCUCUCUUUUUAAUUUCCCAACCUCCAUCUGCUCAUCCAUCAAGCGGCGGCAGUUCGGUCAUUUUGCUCUAAAACUUCCAUCUCGCUCGCUCUGUCGUCCCUCUCCUUUCCCUCCCCCUCCUCCCCCCCGGCCUCGACAGUCUCAGCAGUUAUUAUCGGCCAAAUCACUACCAGAGUUUUCUUAAUCUUUUCGGGAACAGAAGGUUCAUUAACAGACGGGCUGUCAUCGCUGUAUGCGCUUUUGUUGCUUAAGAGGAGGAAGGGGCUUUGGUUGAAAAAAGUCGAGCGCUUUUACAAAUCAGCUUUGAGGAGCACUCGGCGGGAAGGAUUAUACACUUAAAGGCAACAACUUGGAAAAUUAUCCGUGUUCGGGAGCCGCUGACACGUUAGCGCUGCACCAGCGGCGGCAGCAGCAGCCUCCACCGCCAGGAUGUGACAGAGGAGGCAGGAAGAAGUACAAACUGAUGUGGUGAGAAGUGCCCGAGACAGAUAAACAGACAGAAGCACGGGCACAGACGCAGAGCUGAGUGGGAAGUGUAACGAAGAGGUCACGCGGUUGGUUUUAAAUAUCUCCUGUCAAUCACUCAUGGAACUGUGGGAUCUGUGCUGCCAAUUACACAGGAUCAAUAAGAUUUAGCAUUUACUGUAUGAGAUCUGUAUGAAUAAAUGGAUGACAAAGGCAACUAAGGAAGAAUGGAGGAGACAAAGAACAAAUAAAUCGAUUGUCUCACAUUUUUUACAGUAUUACGACAAAGACCAAAAUACUCUAUGUAUUUUAUUUGAUCCAGUGAUGAUUAUUACUGUCUGUUGAUCACGGAAUUCUAACAUAUUUUCCUCACAGGCUAUAAUUAUUUUUGUUGUAAAGACAGAAACCUGUGUGUUUCUUAAUAAGAUGACAGGGAGUUAAGUGAGUAACCAAAAAAAAGGAGUAAAAUCUUCUCAGUGAAUCUGAUAUUCUCCUCCGGCGGCUCUUUCCAACUGCAGAAGCUUCCACCACCUCCACGGUGUCACAGCCAAGGUGCCGUCGGAGCCCUCGUCACUGACAGAGCACUGUCCCGGGGCUGAUCUCCUGUCACGUCCCUGAACCUCCAGCUCCUUCGCGGCGGCGGGGCGAUGAAUAAAAAGGCAUCCGCUCAAACGCUGGCUCUUGUAGAAGUGACAGCGUCAUCAUUUGAAUGUGACCUGAGGGGUCCAACGUGCUGUAUUACAGAGCUGGGACGAGCGAGGGCACGCGGGAGAGAGCUGUCAACUUGAAAACGCGGGGUUGUCGAUAGUUGCGGGUUUGCGUGCGUGUCCAGUGUUCGUGUGAGCCGCGGCCCAGCGUGAACGUCAAGGCGCUCAGCAGGUUCCACGCCACUCGUCCAAACUACUUGAUAUAUAAAACAUGU